AUGGUGGUCGAUGCCCUGGCAUCCAUCCUGGAUAAGGCCAAGGCUGCUGGCCAUAUCCGCGGCAUAGUCCCCCACCUAGUUGGAGGGGGAGGGGUCUCCCUCCUCCAAUAUGCGGAUGAUACCAUUAUAAUGGUGGAGGGAUCCGCUCUAGAUAUUACUAACCUGAAGUUCCUCCUCCUGUGCUUCCAACAAAUGUCGGGUCUAACCAUCAACUUCGAUAAGAGCGAAGUGAUGGUUCUCGGAUACCCCUUGGAGGAAGCACAUGCUAUUGCUGACCGACUAAAUUGUCGGCUGGGUUCUUUCCCCAUGACCUAUCUGGGGAUCCCCAUUAGUGAUUCACGCCUCACCGUAGCCGAUCUUUGUCCCACGGUGACCCGUAUGCAACAUCACGUUGAGCCCUGGAAAGGGCGCUGGCUGUCGAAGGCUGCUCGCGUGAUCCUUAUCAAUUCCUCGCUUGCCAGCCUCCUUUGGUUCCUCAUGAGCUUCUAUAGCCUCCAUGAAACCCUUCAUCAGGAGAUCGCCAAAUACCAAUCCAGAUUUUUCUGGGCUGGGGAGGGAGAUAAG
rnacentral:rRNA from 1 species